AGUCACUGACAUUAGAUACCCGGUAGUCCCAGCCGUAAACAAUGUGCGUUAGGUGUGUCGGUAACCACGUGUUACUGAUGCGCCGAAGAGAAAUCGUGAAACGCACCACCUGGGAAGUACGGUCGCAAGGCUGAAACUUAAAGGAAUUGGCGGGGGAGCACCACAACAGGUGGAGCCUGCGGUUUAAUUGGAUUCAACGCCGGACAUCUCACCGGAUAAGACAGCUGAAUGAUUGUCAAUCUGAAGGUUUUACAUGACUAGCUG
rnacentral:rRNA from 1 species